AGAUUCAGUGCAAGUCUAUGCUGAAGUGGAGAAGCCAGCUGACACCAGAGCUCGUUCGGUUUGUAAGUUUUCUAUUUCUCAUCUGCAGACUUGUCUGUCUUUAUCCAAAAUCCCUCCACUGAAGAGAUUUGGAUCAAAAAGGCCGCUCCUCUGGUGUGCAUGGUUGUGGGUGCUGAUCUGAGCCAGGUCCAAACCUACUGGCAGGUGAGCAAGACGGAGAAAAUUAAAGGAAAUGUGACCAAAAAACUGAAGGAGAAAGGGACCCCAGACACAGUGAUCAGCCAACUCCAGACCAGUGUGGAGGAGUGGUCCAGUGGGGUGGAGUACACGUGCUCUGCCCAACAACCUUCUUCAUCCUCAGCACGGACAAAGAGUACCAAAGUGGAAACAAAAAGACCGAAGGUCAGACUGCUGCCUCCACCACACGAAGGGACCAAGGGUAGGAACAUGGCCACCCUCGAGUGUGUGGUCUCUGGAUUCUACCCGGACCUCAUAAACGUCACCUGGGAGAAAGACGGCUCCCUGAUCUCCUCCAACACCAGUGCUACACCGACUGCUCUGGAGCAGGAGGGCACUUUCAGUGCCAGCCAUUUCCUGACUGUGAGUACAGAGGAGUGGAAGAAAGGCUCAGUCUUCAGCUGUACAGUGUCUCAUCCCCCCUCCAACACCAGUGUCAGCCGGGAGGUGAAAAGCAUUCAAGAAUCCUGCACAGACUUGACAGGAGAGGAGGGGAAGGAAGAACUGGGAGACUUGGAUGGAGAUGACAAUGUGCUGGCAGUUGCUGCCUUUGCCAUUCUGUUCGUUAUCAGUUUCCUCUACAGCACCUUCGUCACCAUUGUCAAGGUAACCAAAUGACCAACAACAGGGAUAUCCCAUGAAGCCCACACUUUCACCUUCCAUUUCUCACCACACUGAGUCGUCUGACUCUGGGAUCCCAACUACAGCACAAUCAACAGACGAUGCAGUCUGGGGCCUUUCACAUCCCCUGGGACUUUGAA